AAACCCGGUGAUCUAGCCAUGGGCAGGUUGAAGGUUGGGUAACACUAACUGGAGGACCGAACCGACUAAUGUUGAAAAAUUAGCGGAUGACUUGUGGCUGGGGGUGAAAGGCCAAUCAAACCGGGAGAUAGCUGGUUCUCCCCGAAAGCUAUUUAGGUAGCGCCUCGUGAACUCAUCUUCGGGGGUAGAGCACUGUUUCGGCUAGGGGGUCAUCCCGACUUACCAAACCGAUGCAAACUCCGAAUACCGAAGAAUGUUAUCACGGGAGACACACGGCGGGUGCUAACGUCCGUCGUGAAGAGGGAAACAACCCAGACCGCCAGCUAAGGUCCCAAAGUCAUGGUUAAGUGGGAAACGAUGUGGGAAGGCACAGACAGCCAGGAUGUUGGCUUAGAAGCAGCCAUCAUUUAAAGAAAGCGUAAUAGCUCACUGGUCGAGUCGGCCUGCGCGGAAGAUGUAACGGGGCUAAACCAUGCACCGAAGCUGCGGCAGCGAACGUAUCACUUAAAACG
rnacentral:rRNA from 1 species